UACGACGGGGGCUAGCGUUGCUCGGAAUCACUGGGCGUAAAGCGCGCGUAGGCGGCUUUGUAAGUUAGAGGUGAAAGCCCGGAGCUCAACUCCGGAACUGCCUUUAAGACUGCAUCGCUUGAAUCCAGGAGAGGUGAGUGGAAUUCCGAGUGUAGAGGUGAAAUUCGUAGAUAUUCGGAAGAACACCAGUGGCGAAGGCGGCUCACUGGACUGGUAUUGACGCUGAGGCGCGAAAGCUAGGGGAGCAAACGGG
rnacentral:rRNA from 1 species